UUAAAAAGCUCGUAGUUGGAUCAAGAGUCGGACAGUGCACGGUGGCCCUGUUUGUCACGGUGGUUCCGAUCACCGUGGCGGCAGCGGAACAACCCCGUGCGCCAAACUGUCCGCUCUAACAGACCGAAGCGGUUCCCUGUGAGUAGGCUCCUUAAUUGGGGCUGAAAGCGCUUACGCAUCAACCAUAUGCAUACGGGACGUCGGUCAACGUUACUGUGAACAAACCAGCGUGUCCAAAACAGGCUUUCGCCUGAAUGUUCGAGCAUGGAAUAACAAGGGAUCGAUUCUCUCGGUUCUUUUUGUUGGUUUUUAACCCGAGAAGGAGUAAUUCAGGCCACGGUGUCUGAGUUGGGUUCCCCUUCACCUCGGUGGAGGCCCCAAUUAGGCCGUGUCCUUACGGGGUCAAUAGGGACUGACGGGGUUGUACGUACUUCCACGUCAGAGGUGAAAUUCUUAGAUCGUGGGAAGACGAACUUCUGCGAAAGCAUUCGACAAGAAUGUCUUCAUUAAUCAAGAACGAGAGUGUGGGGAUC
rnacentral:rRNA from 1 species